GACGAACGCUGGCGGCGUGCUUAACACAUGCCAGUCGAACGGAAAGGCCCUGCUUUUGUGGGGUGCUCGAGUGGCGAACGGGUGAGUAACACGUGAGUAACCUGCCCUUGACUUUGGGAUAACUUCAGGAAACUGGGGCUAAUACCGGAUAGGAGCUCCUGCUGGAUGGUGGGGGUUGGAAAGUUUCGGCGGUUGGGGAUGGACUCGCGGCUUAUCAGCUUGUUGGUGGGGUAGUGGCUUACCAAGGCUUUGACGGGUAGCCGGCCUGAGAGGGUGACCGGCCACAUUGGGACUGAGAUACGGCCCAGACUCCUACGGGAGGCAGCAGUGGGGAAUAUUGCACAAUGGGCGGAAGCCUGAUGCAGCAACGCCGCGUGCGGGAUGACGGCCUUCGGGUUGUAAACCGCUUUCGCCUGUGACGAAGCGUGAGUGACGGUAAUGGGUAAAGAAGCACCGGCUAACUACGUG
rnacentral:rRNA from 1 species